rnacentral:rRNA from 1 species
UACGGAGGGAGCUAGCGUUGUUCGGAAUUACUGGGCGUAAAGCGCGCGUAGGCGGCUUUGUAAGUUAGAGGUGAAAGCCCGGGGCUCAACCCCGGAACUGCCUUUAAGACUGCAUCGCUAGAAUCGUGGAGAGGUGAGUGGAAUUCCGAGUGUAGAGGUGAAAUUCGUAGAUAUUCGGAAGAACACCAGUGGCGAAGGCGACUCACUGGACACGUAUUGACGCUGAGGUGCGAAAGCGUGGGGAGCAAACAGG